UACGGAGGAUGCAAGCGUUAUCCGGAUUUAUUGGGUUUAAAGGGUGCGCAGGCGGGGACGUAAGUCAGUGGUGAAAAGCUGCCGCUUAACGGUAGUCUUGCCAAUGAUACUGCGUUUCUUGAGUAUGGUUAAGGUAGGCGGAAUGUGCAGUGUAGCGGUGAAAUGCAUAGAUAUUGCACAGAAGGCCGAUUGCGGAGGCAGCUUACUGAGCCAUAACUGACGCUGAGGCACGAAAGCGUGGGGAUCAAACAGGAUUA
rnacentral:rRNA from 1 species